GAAUUAGCAGGUCGGAUUCCCUUCUCCAACAGUCAUAAAUAACCCUCGGAGAAGUAAAAAGGCAUUUGAUAACAUAUAAAAAAUAGGACCCAGUAAGAUCAUGACAUGUGUAUAUAGGAUUCAGAAGGGUCGUACGAACCUUUCCAUAUGAUAGGACCAGGCAGUGGGAAGCCCGACCUAUGGAGUACAAAGAUCAGACCACCAACACUCCUGACUUUAUCAAAAUCCGGAACGGACAAACAGACCUCUUCAAAGCUCGUACCAAUAAACGAAAAUUAAAUACUGACACUAUUGACCUUAGUGACUUAGGGAAUUUCACCUCGAUACAGACUAGAUGACUCGAGCAUGACUUGAUGAGACUGGAGUAAAUUGCCUACCUUUUACGCACUGGCCGUCUCUUUGAUACAGCACCGAGAUCAUAAAUACGCAUGUGGUAGGUACGAACUAGUCGGCUCCGCAUUUAUUAUCAUAUCAUCCAUCAUUAAUGUGUCGGCUAACACACUUGCAAAAAAGCAUCGAUACCCAGUCUAAUGGGAACAUGGCACAAAGAGC
rnacentral:lncRNA from 1 species